CUUUGGCCAUCAUAAUCUUUAGGGCUUAGCCUACUGUACUCAUUCAACAAUGACAGGCUGUUGAUCAUGUGUUUGUAGUCCAGCUCCAUGCAUAAGAUAGGUGGGAUUUCAACCUGUAGCAGUUCUAUCAGGGCAAGCUUCUCUAACUGAGAGUAUACCCCAUAACUGGGAGCAUCUUCUGCUGUUUUUCAGUGCAGACUGCUGAGGCAGAAGACACUGGAAGGCAAUGCAGUGGUGAAAGGAAACUUCUUGUUCUCAACUUGCAAAUUAGGUUGAUUUAAGCUGGAAAUAAGAGCAUUUAUGCCUGAGUAAGGAUUUCACAUGGAAAGACAUUUUGGAUGCUUCUCAGUUGUACGAGGGGUGCUCAGCUGGGCUCACAUCAGUUCCCACAUUCUGUAUGUGGGAGCUAAAGACCUAAAUACUGGUUUUGAUAAUGAUCUGCAGAUGCUGACCUUGUAAUUCUCAUAUUCGGUGUUUAAAAAUGAGUGUCUGAGACUCAUCUCCUUCUUUCCCCCAACCAGAAAUUGCAGCAUUCCUGUUCUGUUUUAAUAUUCGAAAUACAGUGCUUGCAAAGACCACCCCAGUGAGGCAGGAUUUUGUACUUCUCUAUUAGAGUCUUUCUCAUUCCAAUUUGACAGCUGGUGUUGCAGGUAGGAUUCUUUGGCUCACGGCAUCUGGGCUGAGAAAUGUUUUUUCUCCUUGGAGUCUCAGGCACUUCAGAAUAAUCCUUCAGAAACCAUUUAUCAGACUGAACGCUGAAAUGUUUGGUAAAAUUUACAGCAAACCACCCUCUUUUUCAACCCACAUGGUUGCCCCAGCCUCACAGCAGAGCAGUUGUUAGCAAAUUGGUUAAUUGCCAGCACUUUGCUGAUGUUUGCUAUUCUGAGCCAGGGCUAGUCAACUCCAUUCCUACUGAUAUGGAAAUGACCUUAAACCCUUCUUUGGAAUUAAAAUGGGAUUUGUUCUGAAGUUUACAAAUUUCUCAGGCAAUUAUUUUUUUUUUCCUUGUAACUGACUCUCAGCAUUUGUGCUGCUGCUUUCUGCUGGCAGAAGGAGGAAGAGGAGAGUUGUAUUGGUUAAAUACUGGCUGGCAGAGCCAGAUGUGCUUCAGCCCCUGGCUCUGUCACAAAUCCCAGUUGUGGAACAAGGCAAGUUCUUUCAUCUCCCCAUGAGAACAGAGCGAUGGUGCUUCACUUCUUGAUUUUUAAGACGCAUUCAUUUAGAUUGGAAGGGUUUGUGGGUUUUUUUUGAGAAAGAUUGCAUCUGUAGGAUUAGAUUGAACCUAAACUUAUUGGCAUCAAGAAAGCACAGGCUGACAAGAUAAUAUUCAGAAAGGUGGGUAAUGGAUGUGAUAGGGAGAUAUCAAGCGAAAGGGUGCUCUUGCAACACUUCUGUCCCUAGAAUGAAACCAGAAACUUCAAAAAUCUUGUGAAACCACUUGUUCUCCAGAGCUUAUUAC
rnacentral:lncRNA from 1 species